GCCACGGUGGUCUAGCGGUUAGAACGCUGGCCUUGUAAUCCUGAGGUUCUCGGGUUCGAUUCCCGGUGGUGCCC
rnacentral:tRNA from 1 species